rnacentral:rRNA from 1 species
UACGGAGGGUGCAAGCGUUUGUCCGGAUUUAUUGGGUUUAAAGGGUGCGUAGGCGGCCCUGUAAGUCAGUGGUGAAAUACUGCAGCUUAACUGUAGCAUUGCCAUUGAUACUGCAGGGCUUGAGUACAGAUGAGGUAGGCGGAAUUGAUGGUGUAGCGGUGAAAUGCAUAGAUACCAUCAAGAACACCGAUUGCGAAGGCAGCUUACUAAGCUGUAAAC